rnacentral:rRNA from 1 species
CAGCCGCCACGGGAAUACGUAGGGUCCGAGCGUUGUCCGGAAUUAUUGGGCGUAAAGGGCUCGUAGGCGGUUUGUCGCGUCGGGAGUGAAAACCAGCAGCUUAACUGCUGGCCUGCUUUCGAUACGGGCAGACUUGAGGCAUUCAGGGGAGAACGGAAUUCCUGGUGUAGCGGUGAAAUGCGCAGAUAUCAGGAGGAACACCGGUGGCGAAGGCGGUUCUCUGGGAAUGUUCUGACGCUGAGGAGCGAAAGUGUGGGGAGCGAACAGGAUUAGAUACCCCGGUAGUCCCUGUCUCUUAUAC